rnacentral:rRNA from 1 species
AUGAACGCUGGCGGCGUGCUUAACACAUGCAAGUCGAACGAAGCACUUUUUCUUGAUUCUUCGGAUGAAAGAGAUUGUGACUGAGUGGCGGACGGGUGAGUAACGCGUGGGUAACCUGCCUCAUACAGGGGGAUAACAGUUAGAAAUGACUGCUAAUACCGCAUAAGCGCACAGUACCGCAUGGUACAGUGUGAAAAGCCGAGACGGUAUGAGAUGGACCCGCGUCUGAUUAGCUAGUUGGUGAGGUAACGGCUCACCAAGUCGACGAUCGGUAGCCGGACUGAGAGGUUGAACGGCCACAUUGGGACUGAGAUACGGCCCAGACUCCUACGGGAGGCAGCAGUCGGGAAUAUUGCGCAAUGGAGGAAACUCUGACGCAGUGACGCCGCGUGCAGGAAGAAGGUUUUCGGAUUGUAAACUGCUUUAGACAGGGAAGAAACAAGACAGUGCCUGUAGAAUAAGCUCCGGCUAACUACGUG